UACGUAGGGGCAAGCGUUGUCCGGAAUCAUUGGGCGUAAAGCGCGUGUAGGCGGUCCGGUAAGUUCGCUGUGAAAGUCGGGGCUUAACCCUCGGAUGCCGGUGAAUACUGUCGGGCUUGAGUACGGAAGAGGCGAGUGGAAUUCCUGGUGUAGCGGUGAAAUGCGCAGAUAUCAGGAGGAACACCAAUUGCGAAGGCAGCUCGCUGGACGUUACUGACGCUGAGACGCGAAAGCGUGGGAGCAAACAGG
rnacentral:rRNA from 1 species